rnacentral:rRNA from 1 species
AGAGUUUGAUCCUGGCUCAGAUUGAACGCUGGCGGCAGGCCUAACACAUGCAAGUCGAGCGGUAGCACAGAGAGCUUGCUCUCGGGUGACGAGCGGCGGACGGGUGAGUAAUGUCUGGGAAACUGCCUGAUGGAGGGGGAUAACUACUGGAAACGGUAGCUAAUACCGCAUAACGUCGCAAGACCAAAGUGGGGGACCUUCGGGCCUCAUGCCAUCAGAUGUGCCCAGAUGGGAUUAGCUAGUAGGUGGGGUAACGGCUCACCUAGGCGACGAUCCCUAGCUGGUCUGAGAGGAUGACCAGCCACACUGGAACUGAGACACGGUCCAGACUCCUACGGGAGGCAGCAGUGGGGAAUAUUGCACAAUGGGCGCAAGCCUGAUGCAGCCAUGCCGCGUGUGUGAAGAAGGCCUUCGGGUUGUAAAGCACUUUCAGCGGGGAGGAAGGCGUUAAGGUUAAUAACCUUGGCGAUUGACGUUACCCGCAGAAGAAGCACCGGCUAACUCCGUGCCAGCAGCCGCGGUAAUACGGAGGGUGCAAGCGUUAAUCGGAAUUACUGGGCGUAAAGCGCACGCAGGCGGUCUGUCAAGUCGGAUGUGAAAUCCCCGGGCUCAACCUGGGAACUGCAUUCGAAACUGGCAGGCUAGAGUCUUGUAGAGGGGGGUAGAAUUCCAGGUGUAGCGGUGAAAUGCGUAGAGAUCUGGAGGAAUACCGGUGGCGAAGGCGGCCCCCUGGACAAAGACUGACGCUCAGGUGCGAAAGCGUGGGGAGCAAACAGGAUUAGAUACCCUGGUAGUCCACGCCGUAAACGAUGUCGAUUUGGAGGUUGUGCCCUUGAGGCGUGGCUUCCGGAGCUAACGCGUUAAAUCGACCGCCUGGGGAGUACGGCCGCAAGGUUAAAACUCAAAUGAAUUGACGGGGGCCCGCACAAGCGGUGGAGCAUGUGGUUUAAUUCGAUGCAACGCGAAGAACCUUACCUGGUCUUGACAUCCACAGAACUUUCCAGAGAUGGAUUGGUGCCUUCGGGAACUGUGAGACAGGUGCUGCAUGGCUGUCGUCAGCUCGUGUUGUGAAAUGUUGGGUUAAGUCCCGCAACGAGCGCAACCCUUAUCCUUUGUUGCCAGCGGUUCGGCCGGGAACUCAAAGGAGACUGCCAGUGAUAAACUGGAGGAAGGUGGGGAUGACGUCAAGUCAUCAUGGCCCUUACGACCAGGGCUACACACGUGCUACAAUGGCAUAUACAAAGAGAAGCGACCUCGCGAGAGCAAGCGGACCUCAUAAAGUAUGUCGUAGUCCGGAUUGGAGUCUGCAACUCGACUCCAUGAAGUCGGAAUCGCUAGUAAUCGUAGAUCAGAAUGCUACGGUGAAUACGUUCCCGGGCCUUGUACACACCGCCCGUCACACCAUGGGAGUGGGUUGCAAAAGAAGUAGGUAGCUUAACCUUCGGGAGGGCGCUUACCACUUUGUGAUUCAUGACUGGGGUGA